UACGUAGGGGGCUAGCGUUGUCCGGAAUCAUUGGGCGUAAAGAGCGUGUAGGCGGCCCGGUAAGUCCGCUGUAAAAGUCAAAGGCUCAACCUUUGAAUGUCAGUGGAAACUGCCGGGCUAGAGUCCGGAAGAGGCGAGUGGAAUUCCUGGUGUAGCGGUGGAAUGCGCAGAUAUCAGGAGGAACACCAACGGCGAAGGCAGCUCGCUGGGACGGUACUGACGCUGAGGCGCGAAAGCGUGGGGAGCGAACAGG
rnacentral:rRNA from 1 species